GACGGUACCUGACUAAGAAGCCCCGGCUAACUACGUGCCAGCAGCCGCGGUAAUACGUAUGGGGCAAGCGUUAUCCGGAUUUACUGGGUGUAAAGGGAGCGUAGACGGAGGGGCAAGUCUGAUGUGAAAGCCCGGGGCUCAACCCCGGGACUGCAUUGGAAACUGUCAAUCUAGAGUGCCGGAGAGGUAAGCGGAAUUCCUAGUGUAGCGGUGAAAUGCGUAGAUAUUAGGAGGAACACCAGUGGCGAAGGCGGCUUACUGGACGAUAACUGACGUUGAGGCUCGAAAGCGUGGGGAGCAAACAGGAUUAAAUACCCUGGUAGUCCACGCCGUAAACGAUGACUACUAGGUGUCGGGUAGCAAAGCUGUUCGGUGCCGCAGCAAACGCAAUAAGUAUUCCACCUGGGGAGUACGUUCGCAAGAAUGAAAC
rnacentral:rRNA from 1 species